GGUUCGAUGGUGUAGUUGGUUAUCACAUCUGUCUAACACACAGAAGGUCCCCGGUUUGAACCCGGGUUGAACCA